UAGUAGCUUGGCCCCAUUGGCCGUCAG
rnacentral:sRNA from 1 species